UACGGAGGGUGCAAGCGUUAUCCGGAUUCACUGGGUUUAAAGGGUGCGUAGGCGGGCCGGUAAGUCAGUGGUGAAAUCCUGGGGCUUAACCCCAGAACUGCCGUUGAUACUAUCGGUCUUGAAUGUUGUGGAGGUGAGCGGAAUAUGUCAUGUAGCGGUGAAAUGCUUAGAGAUGACAUAGAACACCAAUUGCGAAGGCAGCUCACUACGCAACGAUUGACGCUGAGGCACGAAAGCGUGGGGAUCAAACAGGAUUAGAAACCCCCGUAGUCC
rnacentral:rRNA from 1 species